rnacentral:rRNA from 1 species
CUUGAACGCUGGCGGCAGGCCUAACACAUGCAAGUCGAGCGGAUGAAGGGAGCUUGCUCCUGGAUUCAGCGGCGGACGGGUGAGUAAUGCCUAGGAAUCUGCCUGGUAGUGGGGGAUAACGUCCGGAAACGGGCGCUAAUACCGCAUACGUCCUGAGGGAGAAAGUGGGGGAUCUUCGGACCUCACGCUAUCAGAUGAGCCUAGGUCGGAUUAGCUAGUUGGUGGGGUAAAGGCCUACCAAGGCGACGAUCCGUAACUGGUCUGAGAGGAUGAUCAGUCACACUGGAACUGAGACACGGUCCAGACUCCUACGGGAGGCAGCAGUGGGGAAUAUUGGACAAUGGGCGAAAGCCUGAUCCAGCCAUGCCGCGUGUGUGAAGAAGGUCUUCGGAUUGUAGAGCACUUUAAGUUGGGAGGAAGGGCAGUAAGUUAAUACCUUGCUGUUUUGACGUUACCAACAGAAUAAGCACCGGCUAACUUCGUG